GCUCUUUCAGGGACGCUGUAAGAAUAACAGCCAAGACUCCCUCCUCUGAAAGUAGUGAAUAAGAAUCUGAAACCAAGAGGAUGUCAAAUCACUUCUCUCAUUCAGGACCUGGAAGGGAGUCCAUCCAGGGAGAACUGUUAUGAGGAUGGAGACCUAGAGCUGAAUCAGGUACACACCUAAUGGUAUGAGUGGCAGUUUCAAAUCCAUUCUACACUCUGCUGCAGCUGACAAUAGGCAGCAUCAGCAGCUGAAAGAUGAGAGUUUGGGUGAAGAUAUGGUCUUUCUGCUUGGUGGGUUUAGAGAAAGGAACUGGACCUUCCCAGACCAGCAUCUUGUUUUUGGAAUCCAGCUGUCUGCAGGAAGCACACACCCUGCUCUGUCCUUUGUGACUAGAGUGUUGACUGCAAGAUGAGGCAAAGGCAAAUAGGUGGAAUAACUGGAGAAUAACCCAGAAUGAGACACAGAAAGAGGAUUUUGAAAGGAUUUCCUUGCCUAUUAUCUGCUUUCUGAGAGAGCCACACAAAACAGGGGAAAAAACUGGAGAAUAAUGGUUGUGUCAUCAUGACAAACAACUGACAUAGUUGAGGCCAGUCGAAGGCCCAGAGCAACCCUGGUCCUGUAGUCAGAGACGACUUAUGAAAAUAAAUGAAUCUGGCUCAUUGACUUGAGUUCUUGUACCCAAACUGGAAAGGUGUGGUACCUGACACAGGAACAAAGUCUGUCUGAAAUCAGCUGUCCGGGAUGUCAUUUUCUCUAGUGCAGAGACUCGAUUGCCUAAAUUGGUAGCAGAGGUGGAUGUUUCCUAACAUGAUCUUCCUUGGCCAACAGUGACUGACAUCUGAGAUUCAGAGCCAGGGUUGAGUCCUCCUCACAGGGCGAGUUCUCUGACAAGGAAGUUUUGCAACCUAAUUUACAGCUGGAGCCAAGCUUGUCAGUGAGUGCCAGAGGGAAACUGUCGCAAUCGGCAGGCAAAGUAUAUUCAUUUAACAAGGGGAGUCUCUGAGGAGCUAUCAAAAACUGCUUGCCAUCUUUCCAAAUCAUCUCUGUCUGCAGUGACCAUGUCUUAAUCCUGAAGGAAAACAAGGUGGAAAUUGAUUUUUACUUCUCUGCAGCUAAGUAUGUGGCAGUCUUGGCCACAUGGUGACUCAGCAGAGGAGCCUAUGUACUGGCUGUCCUGAUGCUCUUCCUGAUUCAACUGAUUCUCUACACUUGAUCUUAGCCAAAAGGCCGAGAAGCAAUGAUUCAACUGAUUCUCAAAAGGACACCGCUGCAGGAAUAAACCCACUUCUAAAUAUGGUACACUUGGAAAGUUGUCCAGCUCGCAAUGUCAGAGUCACAGACUUCAUGCACACUCAUCUCAAGUCAAUGUUAUCUAACACAUUUCCACUAAUUAUUGGAUGACACUAGCAAGAAACUCUGAUAUUUUUCACCUAACCUUUGCUAAUUUAAAUGUGGCCAGCCCACCCUCAUACUGCAUUGUGAUGGGGAUAUAAAAGCCAAUGAAAGAUAUCAUUAAUUGUUAACAAUAGUCAUCACUGACAACUUCCUGUUGAAUGUCACUGUUACUCCUGCUACUGCUACUACCACUACCAUUUAUGAAGCUGCCAUUAUUACUAACUCAAAGCUUUCACAGAUACAGAAACAGGUGUAUUUUUUGUUUUGUUUUGUUUUUUGUUUUUGUUUGAGAGAGAGUCUUACUCUGUCGGCCAGGCUGGAGUGCAGUGGCACAAUCUCGGUUCACUGCAACGUCCGCCUCCCGGGUUCAAGCAAUUCUUGUGCCUCAGCCUCCCGAGUAGCUGGGAUUACAGGCAUGUGCCACCAUGCCUGGCUAAUUUUUGUAUUUUUAGUAGAGACGGGGUUUUACCAUGUUGGCCAGGCUGGUCUCAAACUCCUGACUUCAGGUAAUCCACCUGCCUAGGCCUCCCAAAGUGCUGGGAUUACAGGCAUGAGCCACCGUGCCUGGCCAGAAACAGGUGUAUCUUUAAAGCAUAACUUCCUCUCUGCAUCUUGCUUCCCCUCUUUCUGUCCCUUCUCCUCUCCCACCCCCACAGUUUUGGCUUCACUUUGCUCAGGCUGUGACAACUGUCUUUAAGGGAGCUAACUUUUAUCUGACUGUAAAGCCAAGCAAACUAAUCUUGCAAAACUGUUCUGCCACAUAGGUUGGUCUCUUCCUGUUUGGAAUUCAUCUAUAUAUUAGCAACUUGGAAAGCCUUUGAGCUGAGCUAGUGCGCAAAGCUGCACCUUAGACUGUGGUUUACAGUGCUGCUUAAUUGUCACAACGGUGUCACUCACCUUGUCCUCACCUAACCUGCAAGGUAGACAUUUAGGCUGCUUUCUUCAUCAGUGUAAGGUGAAAUAGCAGAUUGGUGUGUAAAAAGUGUGGCUUGGAGUGUGGUGGUAUGAACUGUGGGAUUAUUUACUAUAGGGUCUCAUUGCAAAUCCUUUAGAACACUUGCCUCUUACACCUUUUGUCUGUCUGCUCUUAAAUAUUUUCUGUCCUUCCAGCAUGCUAUCUCUACCUAACAGAAGGGGUCAUAUCUGUCUCAACUAAAAGUCAUUCCAUUUGGGUCAUUCGUCUGGAGGCUGAGACAGUGGAAGAGUCAAACUUGCCCUGAGCUUCACUCAGCCAGUACCUGUCUCCUCUGCCCACUGUCCAGCAACUUACCCUGACCCAUCCUUUAAGGAACUUGCCAAGAGAGAGCAGAAUACUCUUUCUUUCUCUCUCUCUCUCUCUUUUUUUGUCUUUCAUUUAUUCUUUGGAUAUAAACUGCAGACCUACUGGUUGUAAAGCACUGAGUUUCACAGUGAGGGCAACAAAAGAAUAGAACACCUGGUUCCUAUUCUGAGAGGGUCACCUCUGUUCACACAACUUCUGCCCAUCUGACUCAAUCUACUAGGUAAGCGGCAGAGGGGCUUCCUUCCCCCCAAAACCUCUACUGAAUUAUAAAAGAUGGGGAAAUUGGAAUUUAGCAUUUUCAAAACCCCACCUCUUCUUGCAGAUUUACUUUCUUUCACUUUCCCAAGCAGACUUCAUGUGGCAACCAAACUAUACUGUCAAGUACCCUCUGAACCCGCCUGCCCUUCCUGCCUGCAUGCGUCAUGGAAGAGCUGCCUUUGCCCCAGGACACUGCUCUGGCCCCAUUACCAUCACCAUCACCAAGGAAAAUACAUCCCUUAUAUUUCAAAGCCCUAGUUCAAGCAUGUCUUCCUUUCAGGCAGAUAAAAUUAUUUUAUGCUUAAAGAUGCAGAAAAAAUGACACACACACACACACACACACACACACUCAUAAAACAACUUUAGAGUCUAUAAGAUCUCAUUCUGCACUUGGGUGCUUACUAAAAAUAUCUCACUGGAAGAAUAACUAGCCUUAGUUUCCACAUCUGCAAAAUGGAGAUAACAAUACUAUAAAAUGAUUAUGGCUUUUUGAUGAUGUAGUUUGCAUAAAUGGCCUAGCCAAGUACCCGGCACCCGUAGGUACUCUACAAAUGCUAGUCAGCAUCCCUUCUUGGAAAUCUCCACGAUUAAAUGAUAUCUUAUGCAGCUGUUUGCAGCUUAUCUCCUGUUAGACUCCAAGCUGCUUAAGAAUAGUGACUAUGGGCUUAUUCACAUGGGGUUCCCUGCAGCCUUGCUUAGUGCUUUGUACCUAACAGAUGCUAAGGCAUAUUGGAUACAACAGUUUAUUACUGUAAAAAUACAAAUGACCAUAGGUCUGGAAAGAGCCAGGCUCAGCAGGGUACAAAGCAGGCCUGGGGGUACAAAGCCCAGGCUCUUUAGAACCUUUGCCUUAGCUCAGCAAGGUUCUCAAGGGUGGAGUAAUUGCAGAGAGAAAAUGGCAGGCUCCAUGUGCAGGCUUAUGUGAUUUAGGGCCACAGACUGACCCUUCCUGGGGUCACCCACAAGAUGAAUCAGGAAAAGAGAGAACAGAGAUGGGGCCAGCUGCUCCCAGAUCCUUAGACAUUCUAAAUAAGGGGGAGAGACUCAGUCUUUUCUGAUUAAUCUUUGAUGAUUUAUUCUUUGGACAUCAUUUAAAAGGAGCAUUUUAAAGUAAAUUAAUUGAACUCUCAUGACCUUUUACCCUACUAAUAUCAUCAAAAGAAACUAGAUCUUGAAUUUUAAAAAGCGCUUGAUUUAUUUUCUGUGACUUACAAACUACUGAAGAACAUCAGUUUUUAUUUUUUGAAAUUAUGAAAACUCCAGCUUUUAAAGCAAGAAGUCAAAACAGCUCAGUUUUGAAACAUCCCAAUUUUAGCAAAUGAGUAUUGAGUGAAAGGUGUCAUAGACAUUGGUAAAAGAUAAAUAUGUAAUUUAAUACACAGAAAACUGGGUAAGUAUUGUCUUCAAAAAGCCAAUUCCCCUUCUACCACACUGACCCUGAUGGUAUUCUUGAGUCCAAAUGACUUGGGUAAAUUCUGAUUAGUAUAAACCAGUUUUUUUUUUUUUUAAUUAUUUUACUUUAAGCUCUGGGAUAUAUGUCCAGAACAUGCAGGUUUGGUACUUAGGUAUAUAUGUGCCAUGGUGGUUUGCCACACCUUAUCAACCUGUCAUUUAGGUUUUAAGUCCCACAUGCAUUAGGUAUUUGUCUUAACGCUCUCCCUCCCCUUGCUCCCAACCCCCUGACAGGUCCCAGUGUGUGAUGUUCCCCUCCCUGUGUCCAUGUGAUCUCAUUGUUCAACUCCCACUUAUGAGUGAGAACAUGUGGUGCUUGGUUUUGUGUUCCUGUGUUAGUUUGCUGAGAAUGAUGGUUUCCAGCUUCAUCCAUGUCCCUGCAAAGGACAUGAACUCAUUCUUUUUUAUGGCUGCAUAGUAUUCCAUGGUGUGUAUGUGCCACAUUUUCUUUACCCAGUCUAUCAUUGCUUGGCAUUUGGGUUGGUCCCAAGUUUUUGCUAUUGUAAAUAGUCCUGCAAUAAACAUACGUGUGCAUGUGUCUUUAUAGUAGAAUUUAUAAUCCUUUGGUAUAUACCCAAUAAUGGGAUUGCUGGGUCAAAUGGUAUUUCUAAACCAGUGUUUUUUUGUUUGUUUGUUUGUUUUGUUUUUUUUAAAGUGCAGGAAGCAGUUUAUUAAUUAAUUCUAAAAUCAAUUUAGUACUUUGAAUCAGAAUUUUUUAAAUUAAUUGAUAGUAUAAAGAAUAAAAUAGAAUGGAAAAUAUCUGGAGGUACUGCACAUAAGGAUUCCAAUUUCUAUUUUCAGAACUUUCAUUUGUAAUUUAUGUACGCAUCUAACGUGUAUUUACGUGUAUACUGAGUUAGGGUGUACAACUUUUCCCUGAGGCUGUAUCUCAAAAACUUUGGAAGCUGAAGAAUUUGUCCAAAUCUAUGUUCCUUUUUGUUUGUAAAUCACCUGAUGAUGGUGAUAUAGCUGUGGCCAACGAAAUGUCAAGGGAAGUCUGCUGGGGAAGGUAGACGUAGGAUAGGAGUAUGGGAAAAAAUUAUUCACUCAAAAGCAUGAUGCACAGAGGAGCUAUGAUCUUUUCUUGUUUUCCUCACUGGAUGUUGUCAUGUCUGUAUGUACUUCCUGGAACUGUGGCACCAUCUUACAACCAUGAAAGGAGCUCACAUGAAAUCAUGUUGAACAUAGCAGAGCGGGAAGAUGGAAGGAAUCCGAGAUCUAUGUUUGAUGUUAAGCGAUGAUGUUAAAAACUUAAAAAACUCCAGAACUCUCUUACCCCUGGGCUUGUUAUAAUAAAAAGAUAAUAAUCCUCUUAGUGUUUAAGG
rnacentral:lncRNA from 1 species